UUAAUUUACAGCCACAUUUAGACUUCAUAUAACUAAAGUAAAUUAUAAAUCCAUAGUUUUACUUUAAUAAACACAGCAACACAUGGCUUCACUUCCCCCUACUGAUUCCUUCAGUUGGUAUUUCCCAGACCUAUAAAGUGGUGGUCAUAGACGCUGGGAAGUCAUUUGCCAGAUCACCCUGGGGAGAGGAGACCUGUUCCAGAGAGCCCUGGGAGGAAGACACCUGUAACAGGAUCUAAAGAGCGGGAGCGCGCUGAUACAUUCAACCCCAUGUAUUAAUUUACACUUCCCUGGACCAGGUACCUGGAUCACAGAUGGUGUGCAGCUUGCUGAUGUUCAAGUAUAAAUGGAUAGUGAAUGAAGUUGUAUCUUUGUAGGUGAGAGACUAGGAGUCUCACUUAUAGAAAGUGUUGUUUGAUAACAAGGUCGAAUGGAACGGUCAUGCCCUUUUUGGUAUGUUUUUGCUGAUGACAGCAAAAACUAAGUCCAGCUUUUAAAAUAAAAAGUUUUUAAUUUUUA